rnacentral:pre_miRNA from 1 species
GAUUUAAAAUGAAAAAGUCAUCAACAACAAAGUUGUAUAACUCAACAAUAUCUAUAACUUUUAUUUUGGUCAUUUCUUUAUCCGCCAAAGUAAUAGUAAUAUUGUUGACAAAAGUUACAUCUCUUAUAAGAGAGAGAUUUAAAUUUUGUGAACAACGUUUCUAUCAUUUUGUCGGAUGAAGAAAUGAUGAAAAUAAAAGUUAUAGAUAUUGGCGAGUUAUACAACUUUGUUGUUGAUGACAUUUUCAGUUUAAAUC